rnacentral:tRNA from 1 species
GGAAGUAUGGCUCAUCCGUAGAGCAUUUGCCUAGCAAGCAAGAGAGCCUGAGUUCAAACAUCAGUACUACUU